GAGGAUAUAGGUCAAGUGGUAGAAUGCAUGUUUAGCAGAUAUGAGGUCCUGGGUUCGAUUCCUAGUACCUCCU
rnacentral:tRNA from 1 species